AUUCAGUUGACGUGUCCCAAAUAGGACGAAAUGCGCAUCCUGGAU
rfam:Schistosoma mansoni, Puerto Rico, WGS project CABG01000000 data, contig: 0156